rnacentral:rRNA from 1 species
AGAAUACAACGCGUGGCGGCGGUGACCUAACACAUGACAAGUCGCGACGAGAAGGGUAGCAAUACCUGAGUACAGUGGCGCACGGGUGAGUAACACGUGAAUAAUCUACCUCCGAGUGGGGAAUAACUGAGAGAAAUCUUAGCUAAUACCGCAUAACACUUACGAGUCAAAGCAGCAAUGCGCUUGGAGAGGAGUUCGCGGCAGAUUAGUUAGUUGGCGGGGUAAUGGCCCACCAAGACGAUGAUCUGU